GGCCGGGUCCAGGCGAGGCUGGCGGGGAGAGCAAUGGAGUGCCGAGGCCCGCGGCGGGGCCGGAACCACACCCCAGGGCGGAGUUGGCGGCGGACAAGGCCUUGGGGCACGCCCACGAUUUGGGGGUUCCUGUCGCAGGAGAAAGUGGAGUCUAGGCUUCUGAAACACGUUAGGAGUUACCAUCGCUCUGCCCAGACCAACACUUGUCCCAAUGAUUUUAGGAUUAAAACUCAUAAACCAAAGAUUCUUAAGGCGUAGCUUCCGGAGCAGCAGCAGCAGCACCGGGGAACUUGCUAGGAAUUCUGAUUCUCUACCCCACCCUGGGAGCGAGAGGGAUUCCGCAAGUCUGUACUUUAACAAAGCUGUUAAACACCGUGAGAACCACUGACCCAAGCUAACCUGGACAGGAGUGUCUAAGAGUCAAGCAUCGUUAGAUGUUCCUUGUUUCGAAAAAUAAUUUAUUUGAAGUGCUAAUAAAUGUGAUUCCUUGACACUUUCUCGUGAUUGAAGGCAGCGAACUGUUCAGUUAUGAGACAGAGCUCGAGUGGGGGACAGGCAGAGAGAGAGGGAGACACAGAGUCCGAAGUAGGCUCAGGCUCUGAGCUGUCAGCCCAGAGCUGACGUGAGGCUGGAACCCACCAACCUAAGCCGAAGUCGGAGGCUUUACCAACUGAGCCACCCAGGUGCCCCUACCUAAAAAUAUUUUAUGAAACCAUGUAUAUACUUUCACACAUUUUGAUGUUGACAUCUAAAAUUUUUAUCUUGACUUAAAAGGAUUAAAUUUUCAGUGUAUUGUAAAUAUUCA